UUCUUUAUCACCGAGUGCUUGCACUCACCGGUAAAGGGUUGAGUGGCGAACGGGUGAGUAACACGUGGGCAACCUGCCCAAAAGAGGGGGAUAACACUUGGAAACAGGUGCUAAUACCGCAUAACCAUAGUUACCGCAUGGUAGCUAUGUAAAAGGUGGCUAUGCUACCGCUUUUGGAUGGGCCCGCGGCGCAUUAGCUAGUUGGUGGGGUAAAGGCUUACCAAGGCAAUGAUGCGUAGCCGAACUGAGAGGUUGAUCGGCCACAUUGGGACUGAGACACGGCCCAAACUCCUACGGGAGGCAGCAGUAGGGAAUCUUCCACAAUGGGCGAAAGCCUGAUGGAGCAACGCCGCGUGGGUGAAGAAGGUCUUCGGAUCGUAAAACCCUGUUGUUAGAGAAGAAAGUGCGUGAGAGUAACUGUUCACGUUUCGACGGUAUCUAACCAGAAAGCCACGGCUAACUACGUGCCAGCAGCCGCGGUAAUACGUAGGUGGCAAGCGUUAUCCGGAUUUAUUGGGCGUAAAGGGAACGCAGGCGGUCUUUUAAGUCUGAUGUGAAAGCCUUCGGCUUAACCGGAGUAGUGCAUUGGAAACUGGGAGACUUGAGUGCAGAAGAGGAGAGUGGAACUCCAUGUGUAGCGGUGAAAUGCGUAGAUAUAUGGAAGAACACCAGUGGCGAAAGCGGCUCUCUGGUCUGUAACUGACGCUGAGGUUCGAAAGCGUGGGUAGCAAACAGGAUUAGAAACCCUGGUAGUCCACGCCGUAAA
rnacentral:rRNA from 1 species